UACGUAGGGGGCGAGCGUUGUCCGGAAUCAUUGGGCGUAAAGCGCGUGUAGGCGGCUCGGUAAGUCUGCUGUGAAAGUCCAGGGCUCAACCCUGGAAUGCCGGUGGAUACUGUCGAGCUCGAGUCCGGAAGAGGCGAGUGGAAUUCCUGGUGUAGCGGUGAAAUGCGCAGAUAUCAGGAGGAACACCAAUGGCGAAGGCAGCUCGCUGGGACGUGACUGACGCUGAGGCGCGAAAGCGUGGGGAGCAAACAGG
rnacentral:rRNA from 1 species